rnacentral:rRNA from 1 species
UACAGAGGUCUCAAGCGUUGUUCGGAUUCAUUGGGCGUAAAGCGCGUGUAGGCGGCCCGAUAAGUCCGCUGUGAAAGUCCAGGGCUCAACCCUGGAAUGCCGGUGGAUACUGUCGGGCUCGAGUCCGGAAGAGGCGAGUGGAAUUCCUGGUGUAGCGGUGAAAUGCGCAGAUAUCAGGAGGAACACCGAUGGCGAAGGCAGCUCGCUGGGACGGUACUGACGCUGAGACGCGAAAGCGUGGGGAGCAAACAGG